rnacentral:tmRNA from 1 species
GGGGGUGACUUGGUUUUGACGGAGAUUUCAAAGACCGAGGUGCAUGCCGAGAGGGUAGUGACUCUCGUAAAUCAAACGCUGCGAAUUUAAUAGUUGCCAACGACGACAACUACGCUCUAGCGGCUUAAGGCCGCUAGUUCUGGCUGGACGAGUGCCCUUGUAGAUCAGUCGGAAUCGUUCCAAGGGAUCGUGAUCGGAGGAUGUUCCUAGUUCGAUUGCUAAAAAUGUAGGAACUCGCUUGUUUGCACCCUGAGCGUCGGGUCGCUAAUAGGUCAAAUUAAUAGACGCGCCUAAGCAUGUAGAGCCAGAGUUGGCGAGUCGACGGACGCGGGUUCGAGUCCCGCCACCUCCACCA